rnacentral:rRNA from 1 species
GACGAACGCUGGCGGCGUGCUUAACACAUGCAAGUCGAACGGAAAGGCCCUGCUUUUGUGGGGUGCUCGAGUGGCGAACGGGUGAGUAACACGUGAGUAACCUGCCCUUGACUUUGGGAUAACUUCAGGAAACUGGGGCUAAUACCGGAUAGGAGCUCCUGCUGCACGGUGGGGGUUGGAAAGUUUCGGCGGUUGGGGAUGGACUCGCGGCUUAUCAGCUUGUUGGUGGGGUAGUGGCUUACCAAGGCUUUGACGGGUAGCCGGCCUGAGAGGGUGACCGGCCACAUUGGGACUGAGAUACGGCCCAGAGUCCUACGGGAGGCAGCAGUGGGGAAUAUUGCACAAUGGGCGGAAGCCUGAUGCAGCAACGCCGCGUGCGGGAUGACGGCCUUCGGGUUGUAAACCGCUUUCGCCUGUGACGAAGCGUGAGUGACGGUAAUGGGUAAAGAAGCACCGGCUAACUACGUG